GCCUGGGUGGCUCAGUCGGUUGAGCGUCUGACUUCAGCUCAGGUCACAAUCUUGCGGUCCAUGAGUUCGAGCCCCACGUCAGGCU
rnacentral:tRNA from 1 species